rnacentral:rRNA from 1 species
UACGGAGGGUCCGAGCGUUAUCCGGAAUUAUUGGGUUUAAAGGGUCCGUAGGCGGGUCGAUAAGUCAGAGGUGAAAUGCUGUAGCUCAACUAUAGCACUGCCUUUGAUACUGUCGGUCUUGAGUCAUAGUGAAGUGGGCGGAAUAUGUAGUGUAGCGGUGAAAUGCAUAGAUAUUACAUAGAACACCGAUUGCGAAGGCAGCUCACUAACUAUGUACUGACGCUGAUGGACGAAAGCGUGGGGAGCGAACAGG